GCGGGGAGAGAGGAGACGCGUCAGCGCGGCGGGGCCCGCCCGGACGCCCGCCCUCCCGCUGGCCGCCAGCCGCGCCAGCGCGGGGACAGCGCGACCCGGAGCCGGCGCUGCCUUCCCUUCCCUCGCCCGGCACCUCCACGCUGGCCCGCGCCACCCGGGGAGGGUCUCCGGCGCAGCCGCGCGAGCACCUCCCGGAACGGCGCCGCGCAUCGGCGAGCGGAGACCCGGCGGCGGCGCGCCUGCCACGGAGCCACCCGAUUCCCGUACUCCGGCCGCGGCCCGCGCCUCCUCCGCUCGGGCGCCGUCAGCGGUCCCGCCGCCGCCCCCGGGCCGCCAGGACGCCGCGAGAACGCAGAGGGAAGCAGGGUCUUUGUGACCUGUAUCUGGCAAAACCUCCCCUGAGAUGCAAUUCAUUGGUUCCUGGGGUAACCAACCUGCCUCCCUGGCAGCCACUGACUCAUCCUGUGACGAAGAAUGCCUAACCUCCUG
rnacentral:lncRNA from 1 species